CCUACGGGUGGCUGCAGUGAGGAAUAUUGGUCAAUGGACGCAAGUCUGAACCAGCCAUGCCGCAUGCAGGAUGACGGUUCUAUGAGUUGUAACCUGCUUUUGUACGAGGGUAAAACCCGAUACGGGUAUCGGGUUGAAAGUAUCUUACGAAUAAGGAUCGGCUAACUCCGUGCCAGCAGCCGCGGUAAUACGGAGGAUCCGAGCGUUAUCCGGAUUUAUUGGGUUUAAAGGGUGCGUCGGCGGGUUGAUAAGUUAGCGGUGAAAUGACGGGGCUCAACCCCGGAACUGCCUCGAAUACUGUUAGACUAGAGAAUGGUUGCGGUAGGCGGAAUGUAUGGGGUAGCGGUGAAAUGCUUAGAGA
rnacentral:rRNA from 1 species